rnacentral:lncRNA from 1 species
UGGAUCGAGUUCAGGGGAGCUCCAAGGAGCCAAACCCUAACAUCUAACAUAAUCAUCAAAUUGAAGGUCAAAAUGAAGUUCAAAUUCACAAUCAAACAUGAAUAAACGAUCACCAAGUCAAGGGGAUCGUAAGUUUGACUCUUGACAAGCUAGACGGAGGCUUGGGAAAAGAAGCGGGUCAAACGAAGCAAGAAUGGCGGAAAAGCAUAAUUCGGAUGCAAGGUAAGUGUAACUUACACUAGUCUUAAAUUGUGGAAUGUUUUCUUAUCAUAUAAAUUAUGAAUGAGGUGUCUAAACAAUUGAAAUAUGAUGUUCCGUCGUGUAAUCGAACGGAACAAGAAAAUCAAAGCUAAAUGGUCAAUUUGGCCAAACGGGUUAAAAGGUGUAGAUAACACCUUUUGACUAUAUAGACUAAUGAUUCUUUUGUCGAGUCAUAUGCUUACAGGAAUAGAUAUCCAAUGGAUAUUCGCACCGAUCUUAAUUAGCGAAUAUAAAGCAAGGUAUUAAGAUCGGGUCUAUUUGUUGACCCGAGUCAGGUACGCUUAUUUAUGAUGUAUGUAAAAAUACUAAUUUGGUCGAAUAUUUAGUGAUAGCCCUUCAUUGUAAAAGAAGGACCAAAAUCGACCAAAAUGCCCUUGUAGGCUAAAUUGAACAAACAACCUUUAAAGGUUGUUUGGAAACGAGUUUUGCGAUAAGAUAAAUACUUAGAAUAAGUAUAGAAGUUGAAGGGGGUAUUGUUUUUAGUCAAACGGCACUAUUGAGUUUUGCCGUAAAAUAUUGAUUUUAGAGGUAAAAUUUGGGUUAUAUAAGAUCACCAUAAUAAACUCACCUUAAACGCAGCCGAGGUGGGGUAUUAUAGGGUAAGAAAUGUGGUGAUGGAAUACUAGAAGAAAUCGAGAGCGUUUUUAGGCUUGAAUAUGCUUAAAUACCCUUAACGGGUCAAAAUAAACAUCCGAGUGAAAAUGGGUUUAAUUUGAGUAAUUAAACCGGCGAUUAAAAUUUAAUAUGAUAGGCAACGUUAAGUCGAAGAAGUAUAUGUGAUAUAAGGGCCAAAUAAACAUGUUUGAUGGUGAAAUCACAAACGGGUCAAAAUAGGCAAAAGGGGGAAAUAAGCCGAAGACUUAGAAGUCUUAAAAUUUUGUUAAUCCGGAUGUCGGAUUUUAACUCCAUAUGAUGGAGAAUUAAAUUACGGACGCGUAGGAAAAAGAAUCGUGUAAAACGGAUUAAAAACGAGAGAGUUAUGUCCGUUUCGGUAAGAACUAAUGAAAAAUAGACGUGCAGAGUUGACACGGGCGGGUGACUUUUUGACACGGCCGGGUGGCUGGGCUGUGAAAAAUAUAUGUUAACUGACACGGCCGGGUGACUUUUUGACACGGCCGGGUGAAGGGGCUGAAAACAAAACAAAAAUAAUUUCUUGUUUUGUUACGUUAAGCACGGAACUUGUUUAUACUCGAUUCUUAAAGUGUCAAAACUAAUUAUUUACAUGGUUUUGACCGUAGGUGAAGAUGGGAUAAGCGGUUUGAAAGAUACGAAAGUUUUCGUGCAAAUAAACGGCAAAAUAGGAAAGUUGGAAUGCAAGGGCCACCGUAACUUACGGUGCCACCGUAAGUUACGGUGGAGCUGAAAGCUUUACGGUAGCUUCCUACUGAAUUACGGUGAAUGUCAAGAGUCUCGGAUAAAGAUCAAGCAUCGAGCAAGAACCGAACACGCGUUAAAUAAAGCUUCCACAAUGUUGUUUCGUCAUUAUUUUAAAACGGCGAAUUAAACCACUUUAUGUGGUGUUACUAUAAUUUGUGAAAGUUUUCUUUAAUCCCGUAUUUCCAAUGUAUGUAAUCAUUAAUUUCAUGGAUGUUUUCGCAAAAUAUACAUUAAACCUUGAUU